UACGAAGGGGGCUAGCGUUGUUCGGAAUUACUGGGCGUAAAGCGUGCGCAGGCGGCUGCUCAAGUCAGGGGUGAAAGCCCGGAGCUCAACUCUGGAAUUGCCUUUGAGACUGAGUGGCUUGAGUACGGGAGAGGUGAGUGGAAUUCCCAGUGUAGAGGUGAAAUUCGUAGAUAUUGGGAAGAACACCGGUGGCGAAGGCGGCUCACUGGCCCGUAACUGACGCUCAUGCACGACAGCGUGGGGAUCAAACAGG
rnacentral:rRNA from 1 species